rnacentral:rRNA from 1 species
UACGAAGGGGGCUAGCGUUGCUCGGAAUCACUGGGCGUAAAGGGUGCGUAGGCGGGUCUUUAAGUCAGGGGUGAAAUCCUGGAGCUCAACUCCAGAACUGCCUUUGAUACUGGGGAUCUUGAGUUCGGGAGAGGUGAGUGGAACUGCGAGUGUAGAGGUGAAAUUCGUAGAUAUUCGGAAGAACACCAGUGGCGAAGGCGACUCACUGGACACGUAUUGACGCUGAGGUGCGAAAGCGUGGGGAGCAAACAGG